UGGGGAAUUUUGGACAAUGGGCGAAAGCCUGAUCCAGCAAUGCCGCGUGUGUGAAGAAGGCCUUCGGGUUGUAAAGCACUUUUGUCCGGAAAGAAAUCCUUGGCUCUAAUACAGUCGGGGGAUGACGGUACCGGAAGAAUAAGCACCGGCUAACUACGUGCCAGCAGCCGCGGUAAUACGUAGGGUGCAAGCGUUAAUCGGAAUUACUGGGCGUAAAGCGUGCGCAGGCGGUUUGCUAAGACCGAUGUGAAAUCCCCGGGCUCAACCUGGGAACUGCAUUGGUGACUGGCAGGCUAGAGUAUGGCAGAGGGGGUAGAAUUCCACGUGUAGCAGUGAAAUGCGUAGAGAUGUGGAGGAAUACCGAUGGCGAAGGCAGCCCCCUGGGCCAAUACUGACGCUCAUGCACGAAAGCGUGGGGGAGCAAAACAGGAUUAGAUACCCUGGGUAGUCCACGCCCUAAACGAUGUCAACUAGUUGUUGGGGAUUCAUUUCCUUAGUAACGUAGCUAACGCGUGAAGUUGACCGCCUGGGGAGUACGGUCGCAAGAUUAAAA
rnacentral:rRNA from 1 species